CGUUCCGGCUAGUUUACUCCAGCACAGUGGACAUGUUGUGCAAAGUUAAUCGUCGUAUGUGAAAUUUGAUUUUGAACUUUCUUCGGAUGCGUCUCUCAAAAAACGUGGCGUUGAUCAUACAGAGAAGGCAGGCAUGUCAACGGUGAUGAAAGGAUCGCGCAAAUGCAAAACAAAUUGUCGACCUAUUCCACAUUGGUUUUCCUCAGCAUAAAUAUUCAACUCAAUCAAGAGAGCUAUUACAUUAUUCAAUCAGGUAAGUUUAACCGCACGGAGCCGGUAACUGAGUUUGCCGGAGUAAGUCUGUGUUGUCCGGAAUUUCAAAUGAUUGUAUGCUCGAAAGAAAAGUUGAUGCUACUGAAAUAUUCCGUUAUUACCUAGUCAUGAAGCCAUAUUUUUAAAUGAUUUACUACUCAAUUAUGCCACAGGCACUCUUCAUUUCUCCACGUAUAGUAUUUCCCCUGUGCACAUUUUAGCAUCAUUCGACGAAAACUCAGGAAAGAAAGUGGGAAAAACUCCUCUUAAUUUUCUAACAAGGGAACUUUAUUGGCCAUUCUUAACCGCAUGGGGUGAGAAAACAUAUAGGAUUUAAGAGAAUAAACAACAUCAAUUGACGGUGGAUUUUCCAUUAACAUGAAAUGCUUUGACCUAUUCAAGCGAUAUAAGCUGAUGUAUACAUGAAUCUUGAUAGGAUACUGAAGUAUAAGCUCGGAGGGGGGGGGGGGAGGGAUUUGUAAUAUUAAUCCGCUUUUACCAGACAUUCACACGGCAUGCUACACCGAACAUGAAUCUCAUACAAAAAGUUAAGGUGCGUCUCAUUGACAUUCUCAACUGCGCGCCUCCCAUCUCCAAUCUAAAGUAGAAGAAGUGACAAGUCGAAAAUAUCAUCAUUUUCUUAUCUAAAAUAUUUUGUAAUUGUAAUUCAUCUUUUUUUAUACAUUCGAGCUUCACUGUGUAUUACAAUCCAUAUGCACAAUAAAUGUACUAAAUUGUA